rnacentral:rRNA from 1 species
UACGUAGGGGGCAAGCGUUGUCCGGAAUCAUUGGGCGUAAAGCGCGUGUAGGCGGUCCGGUAAGUCCGCUGUGAAAGUCGGGGGCUCAACCCUCGGAUGCCGGUGGAUACUGUCGGGCUUGAGUACGGAAGAGGCAACUAGAAUUCCGUGUGUAGCGGUGAAAUGCGUAGAUAUACGGAGGAAUACCUGAGGCGAAGGCGGGUUGCUGGGCCAACACUGACGCUGAGGCGCGAAAGCCAGGGGAGCAAACGGGA